rnacentral:rRNA from 1 species
AUUGAACGCUGGCGGCAGGCCUAACACAUGCAAGUCGAGCGGAUGAAGGGAGCUUGCUCCUGGAUUCAGCGGCGGACGGGUGAGUAAUGCCUAGGAAUCUGCCUGGUAGUAGGGGAUAACGUCCGGAAACGGGCGCUAAUACCGCAUACGUCCUGAGGGAGAAAGUGGGGGAUCUUCGGACCUCACGCUAUCAGAUGAGCCUAGGUCGGAUUAGCUAGUUGGUGGGGUAAAGGCCUACCAAGGCGACGAUCCGUAACUGGUCUGAGAGGAUGAUCAGUCACACUGGAACUGAGACACGGUCCAGACCCCUACGGGAGGCAGCAGUGGGGAAUAUUGGACAAUGGGCGAAAGCCUGAUCCAGCCAUGCCGCGUGUGUGAAGAAGGUCUUCGGAUUGUAAAGCACUUUAAGUUGGGAGGAAGGGCAGUAAGUUAAUACCUUGCUGUUUUGACGUUACCAACAGAAUAAGCACCGGCUAACUUCGUG